rnacentral:lncRNA from 1 species
CGGAGAGGUGUCAGGAAAAAAGAUACACCAGUGAGUGAUGCCUCUGCAGCUGCUCCCUGGCUGUUUCAAAACGGAGUGAAAGGAGUCAGGAGAAGGGAGCUAUCUCCAGAGUACAGAUAUGAGUCACCAACUUACGAGGAGCUCGAGAAACAUAAUCCAGGACCAAAAUUAUCUUCAUGGAUUCAAAGGAACUGAAAGCCGAAUCCUGCAGAACUGAUGCACUGAAGUGAGAAAUACAGAGCUCUCCUGGGCAUGCAGAGCCUUGGGCUGCAGCCACGCCUUUCAUCCUCCCUCUGCCUCACUCUCCCACCUUCUCUGCCCGAAUUCUUCAACUAGAAGCACAUGAGAAACUCACCUAGGUCUUCUGCACAAUGAGUAUGUAAGCUAAACACUCUUGUUCAGAAGUCUCUGAGUUCCAAAGCCUGUAGGACCAUGGUCACUUUUGCUCAAGGCUCUAAGGAUAAACAAAAAAUGCUCCUCAGUGAGCCACCAAAGACCUUCUCCAUGCAAGAGAAUGACCUUUCCCACAACAAAAGGAUGCACACCACUCUUCAUUGUUAGAUUUUCCAGGUUGGAGACCUGUCAUUUACAAUUCUGCCUUCAGCGCCUCUGGUUUUGGGUUUUCUGGCUCCUCCUAGGAACACAUUCUUCCAGGGCAUGAACUGAGCUUGUAGCGUUUGAUGGAUGUUCCUCUUUGGGGACAGGGCCGGCAGUAUUCCCUUUAUCUCAAGAAGCCAGCUGAUCUCCAAGAAACUCUGGAGAGUUCCAGGAAGGAGCACACCCAACCACCCGGUCAAUGACAGCCCCAGCACCUGUGUCCUGCUCUUCCUUUGCAACUGCUAGAGAAAGGUUUCUUUUUCAGAGACUGCUCAGACAGAUGGGAUCAGCCACACUUAACAACUUCUAUUUGUGGUUUUGAAGGUGACCACAGGAAAUUUGUGCAGCCACUAUAGAAUGAGUGAUGGAGGUUCCUUCAAACUAAAAAUAGAACUCUCACAGGAUCCAACUAUGCCACUCCUGAGAAUAGAUCAGACAGACUCUGAGUCACCAGACAACAGGGGGCCUUGCACAUACAUGUUUAUUGAAGUAUCAUUUACAAGAGCCAAGUUUUGGAACCAGCCUAGAUGCCUGUGAAAUGAUGAAUAAGAAAAUGGGUAUAUAUACAUCCACAAGGUGCUUUAUCUCGUCAUGAAGAAUGAAAUGAUAUCGUUUUCAGGAAAACGGGUGGAACUGGAGAUCAAGUUCAGUGAAAUAAGAAAGGCUGAGAAAGG